rnacentral:rRNA from 1 species
UGACUUGAGUNCAGAAGGGGAGAGUGGAAUUCCAUGUGUAGCGGUGAAAUGCGUAGAUAUAUGGAGGANCACCAGUGGCGAAAGCGGCUCUCUGNUCUGUCACUGACGCUGAGGCUCGAAAGCGUGGGUAGCGAACAGGAUUAGAUACCCUGGUAGUNCACGCCGUAAACGAUGAGUGCUAGGUGUUAGGCCCUUUCCGGGGCUUAGUGCCGGAGCUAACGCAAUAAGCACUCCGCCUGGGGAGUACGACCGCAAGGUUGAAACUCAAAGGAAUUGACGGGGGCCCGCACAAGCGGUGGAGCAUGUGGUUUAAUUCGAAGCAACGCGAAGAACCUUACCAGGUCUUGACAUCCCGAUGCUAUUCUUAGAGAUAGGAAGUUACUUCGGUACAUCGGAGACAGGUGGUGCAUGGUUGUCGUCAGCUCGUGUCGUGAGAUGUUGGGUUAAGUCCCGCAACGAGCGCAACCCUUAUUGUUAGUUGCCAUCAUUAAGUUGGGCACUCUAGCGAGACUGCCGGUAAUAAACCGGAGGAAGGUGGGGAUGACGUCAAAUCAUCAUGCCCCUUAUGACCUGGGCUACACACGUGCUACAAUGGUCGGUACAACGAGUUGCGAGCCGGUGACGGCAAGCUAAUCUCUGAAAGCCGAUCUCAGUUCGGAUUGGAGGCUGCAACUCGCCUCCAUGAAGUCGGAAUCGCUAGUAAUCGCGGAUCAGCACGCCGCGGUGAAUACGUUCCCGGGCCUUGUACACACCGCCCGUCACACCACGAGAGUUUGUAACACCCGAAGUCGGUGAGGUAACCUCUUAGGGGCCAGCC